GAUGAACGCUGGCGGCGUGCCUAAUACAUGCAAGUAGAACGCUGAAGGAGGAGCUUGCUCUUCUGGAUGAGUUGCGAACGGGUGAGUAACGCGUAGGUAACCUGCCUGGUAGCGGGGGAUAACUAUUGGAAACGAUAGCUAAUACCGCAUGACAACAGUUAUUGCAUGAUAACUGUUUAAAAGGGGCAACUGCUCCACUACCAGAUGGACCUGCGUUGUAUUAGCUAGUUGGUGAGGUAACGGCUCACCAAGGCGACGAUACAUAGCCGACCUGAGAGGGUGAUCGGCCACACUGGGACUGGGACACGGCCCAGACUCCUACGGGAGGCAGCAGGAGGGAAUCUUCGGCAAUGGACGGAAGUCUGACCGAGCAACGCCGCGUGAGUGAAGAAGGUUUUCGGAUCGUAAAGCUCUGUUGUAAGAGAAGAACGAGUGUGAGAGUGGAAAGUUCACACUGUGACGGUAUCUUACCAGAAAGGGACGGCUAACUACGUG
rnacentral:rRNA from 1 species